rnacentral:rRNA from 1 species
AUGGAGGCGCUGCGGGUAUGGAGGGCUUCCUUCAAUCUCCUCGGCUUCGCGGCCUCCCGCGCCGCCGCCGCCUCGGCCGGGAGGGCCCACCGUUUCCACAUCCGCUGCUGCUCCCCGGCCGCUGCCGCCACCACGAAGCCGCCGCAGGACCGGCGCCGCCGCAGCGCCUCCUCAUCCUCCACCUCCGACCGCGACUCUAUCCGCGCCAUUCGCCUAAAAAAGGUCGAGGAGCUAAGAGGGAAGGGCUACGAACCGUACGCGUACAAGUGGGACAGGACUCACACGACCAAGGAGCUUCAGGAGAGGUACACCCAUCUCGAGAAUGGUGAAGUCUGCACCGAGGCGUCGGUUUCCAUUGCUGGUAGGAUCGUUGCCCGAAGAGCGUUUGGAAAGCUUGUUUUCAUGACCAUAAGAGACGACUCCGGAACUAUUCAGCUUUACUGUGAGAAAGACAGCCUUACGGAGGAGCAGUUUGAGCAACUGAAGGCAUUUAUUGAUGUUGGCGAUAUCUUAGGUGCAAGUGGGUCCAUAAAGAAGACAGAAAAAGGGGAACUAUCUGUUUAUGUCAGCUUUUUUGAAAUCCUUACAAAAUCCUUACUCCCGCUACCAGAUAAGUAUCAUGGCUUGACAGAUGUGGACAAGCGGUAUCGCCAAAGGUACAUUGACAUGAUUGCAAAUCCUGAGGUUGCUGAUGUGUUUCGAACAAGAGCAAAGGUUGUUUCUGAAAUCCGCAAGACAAUGGAAUCAUUUGGGUUCAUUGAAGUUGAAACUCCAGUUCUACAGGGAGAAGCAGGUGGUGCUGAAGCAAGACCUUUUAUAACUCACCAUAACUCCCUCCAAAGGGAUCUUUACUUGAGGAUUGCAACGGAGCUGCAUUUGAAAAGAAUGCUGGUUGGAGGGCUCGAGAAAGUUUAUGAGAUUGGGAGAAUAUUCCGAAAUGAAGGCAUCUCUACUCGUCAUAAUCCUGAAUUUACCACCAUUGAAAUGUAUGAAGCAUAUUCAGACUAUGAAAGCAUGAUGAAUUUGGCCGAAGAAAUCGUAACUCGAUGUGCUAUGGCUACGACUGGAAAGCUUAAGAUUGAUUACCAGGGAACUGAAAUCUCUCUGGAAAGACCAUGGAGAAGGGAAACCAUGCAUCGUCUUGUCGAAGAAGCAACAGGAGUAGACUUCAAUAGUUUUGGAGAUGUUGAAUCUGCUAAAAAUGCUGCAAAAGGGCUGCUGGGGUUCAAAACAGAGAGCAGUGAGAGUACUUCAUUGCAAGCUUGUUCAUCUGUUGGACAUGUUCUCAACGAGGUCUUUGAGACUGUUGUUGAAUCAACUCUUGUUCAACCAACAUUUGUUCUUGACUACCCAGUUGAGAUAUCACCAUUAGCGAAACCACAUCGGAGGUAUGCUGGUCUUACUGAACGAUUUGAACUUUUUGUAUGUGGCCGUGAAAUUGGAAAUGCAUUUUCUGAGCUCACAGACCCAAUUGAUCAGAGGAGUCGUUUUGAAAAUCAAAUAAAGCAGCACAAUGCUAAACGCGCUGCGAUGGAUAAGAAGGUCAAAUCGGACGAGAGUAAGGGGGAUGAUGAGUAUUCCUAUGAAGUUUCCUUGGAUGAAGACUUCUUGACUUCUCUGGAAUAUGGAAUGCCACCUGCUUCCGGAAUGGGCCUUGGUAUCGACCGGUUAGUAAUGCUUUUGACAAACUCUGCCAGCAUAAGGGACGUUAUCGCCUUUCCAGUCCUGAAGCUUCAGCAAUAG